UACGGGGGAGCAAGCGUUGUUCGGAUUUACUGGGCGUAAAGGGCGCGUAGGCUGCCUCUGCAAGUCGACUGUGAAAUCUCCGGGCUUAACUCGGAACGGUCAGCUGAUACUGCUUUGCUAGAGUGCAGAAGGGGCAAUCGGAAUUCUCGGUGUAGCGGUGAAAUGCGUAGAUAUCGAGAGGAACACCUGAGGUGAAGACGGGUUGCUGGGCUGACACUGACGCUGAGGCGCGAAAGCCAGGGUAGCAAACGGG
rnacentral:rRNA from 1 species